rnacentral:rRNA from 1 species
AGAGUUAAAAGUACGUGAAAUUGCUAAAAGGGAAACAUUUGACACCAGUAUUUGGGAGUCGGAAAUCAGCCUCGGUAUACUGGGGUGCACUUUCCGGCUACCAGGUCAACAUCAGUUUCGUCUGCCGUAAAAAAGCCAAGAGAAGGUAGGUGUUAAUUCACUGUUAUAGCUCUGGCCGAUGCGGUGGAUGGGACUGAGGACUGCAGCGUUAUUUGGAUAUCCCGAUCGCCUCUUGAACCAUCUUCUUUAGACAGCAUGCUGACUUUAGGAAUGUCUAGGGAGCCCGGUUGGUUAAUCACACCAGCGCUUAGGAUGUUGGCGAAAUGGUUCCAAACGACC